rnacentral:lncRNA from 1 species
AUAAUAUAUACUAUAUUACAUAUAAUGUAUAUAAUAUAUACUAAUAUAAUGAUAAUAAACAUAUUUUAUUUAAAUCACCAAAAGAACUUUUAAAAAUUGUGGGAGGGUUAAAAGAUGUUGCCUCUGGGAAGCAAGUCUAAGGGAGGAGCGGUGCAGUGCGGCCGUUCUUUUGUAUUAAAUGCCUUCUUUGCUCUGACUUCUUAGCCACACGCGAGGGUUACUCCGACCUAUGAAAAGCAUGAAUGAAACGGCCCUGAGGGCAUCACCAGGAACCUGGUCAGCACCCCCUUGUGGUCGACGCUGAGCCCUGAGCACUGAGGACCCCCGCGUGCUCCGCCCCCGUUCGCCUCCACCCUGCAGCAGACGCCCCUGGACACUGCCCUCUCUGUCCUCAGGGACACACGGCGGCUGAGUGUGCAAGUGCGUGCUCACACGCCUGCUGGCCCCGUCUCAAGUAUUUUUGAACUUUCUGUGGGUUUGUCUCAUCAAUGACAGUAAUUUUCCCUAUUGACUUGGAUGAUUAAGAAUCGACUCCAAUGAAAACAGAGGGCUUCAGAGAGCCUGUCACCGGCUUCCUUCCCGAACAACGCCUGACCAAGAUUUCCGUGACUCCGCUACACAGCAUCAGAAAACCUCACAAUAGGGCUUACUCACAAUCAUUCGCUCAUCGACUUUUAUUUAACCCACACAAAGAAAUGCCGAGUGCUCUCUGGUGGCCUGGAUCAAGUCCCUUGGAUCCGUGAUGCGAGCGGUGACUUUCUCGGAUGGACAGAUGGACAGAAGAGGUCCCAUGCGCUCCACUCGCUCUAAGAAGAAUGGUCACAUUGAGCCCAGCAGCCAGUGGUGCUGUGGCAAAGCGUGUGGUCACCUCCCACAUGAAGAGGCCUAUUGAUGACCGUGGGACCCGGUGCAAGGGCCCUGGCAGCCGGCCGGAGGCGCGGGACAGUGGGCAGCGUUCCCAGCGCGCCCGGCCGGGAGCCGCAGAGGACACACACGGCGCGUGCACACACUCCGCUCACGUCCAAGGACACACACGGCGCCUGUGCACACUCCGCUCACGCCCAAGGACACACACGGCGCAUACGCACACUCCGCUCACGCCCAAGGACACACACGGCACAUACGCACACUCCGCUCACGCCCACGUGCGAGCGCUUCCCAAGGCAGGGGGCGUACCUUGCCAGGCGCUGGCGCUGAAGCUGUGCCAGGUGGAUGAACACGGAAUGAAACACGGAACGGCCAUCACAUGGGAUGAAUGA